rnacentral:rRNA from 1 species
UACGUAGGGUGCAAGCGUUAAUCGGAAUUACUGGGCGUAAAGCGUGCGCAGGCGGUUUUGUAAGACAGAGGUGAAAUCCCCGGGCUCAACCUGGGAACUGCCUUUGUGACUGCAAAGCUCGAGUGCGGCAGAGGGGGAUGGAAUUCCGCGUGUAGCAGUGAAAUGCGUAGAUAUGCGGAGGAACACGAUGGCGAAGGCAAUCCCCUGGGCCUGCACUGACGCUCAUGCACGAAAGCGUGGGGAGCAAACAGGAUUAGAUACCCCGUGU